GACGAACGCUGGCGGCGUGCUUAACACAUGCAAGUCGAACGGAAAGGCCCUGCUUUUGUGGGGUGCUCGAGUGGCGAACGGGUGAGUAACACGUGAGUAACCUGCCCUUGACUUUGGGAUAACUUCAGGAAACUGGGGCUAAUACCGGAUAGGAGCUCCUGCUGCAUGGUGGGGGUUGGAAAGUUUCGGCGGCUGGGGAUGGACUCGCGGCUUAUCAGCUUGUUGGUGGGGUAGUGGCUUACCAAGGCUUUGACGGGUAGCCGGCCUGAGAGGGUGACCGGCCACAUUGGGACUGAGAUACGGCACAGACUCCUACGGGAGGCAGCAGUGGGGAAUAUUGCACAAUGGGCGGAAGCCUGAUGCAGCAACGCCGCGUGCGGGAUGACGGCCUUCGGGUUGUAAACCGCUUUCGCCUGUGACGAAGCGUGAGUGACGGUAAUGGGUAAAGAAGCACCGGCUAACUACGUG
rnacentral:rRNA from 1 species